UACGAAGGGGGCUAGCGUUGCUCGGAAUGACUGGGCGUAAAGGGCGCGUAGGCGGAUUGAUUAGUUAGGCGUGAAAUUCCUGGGCUUAACCUGGGGGCUGCGCUUAAUACAGUCAGUCUUGAGUGUGGAAGAGGGUCGUGGAAUUCCCAGUGUAGAGGUGAAAUUCGUAGAUAUUGGGAAGAACACCGGUGGCGAAGGCGGCGACCUGGUCCAUUACUGACGCUGAGGCGCGAAAGCGUGGGGAGCAAACAGGAUUAGAAACCCCAGUAGUCC
rnacentral:rRNA from 1 species